AUGUGGACAGUAGUUGGCAUGUUGGUGUCUGUGUGCCCCACUGAAGAGAAAAUGCAGAUUAUCCAUCCAGAAGCGGGGCCACCAUCUCCAGCAUCUUCCCCGUUCUUGGCUGUGGUUGGAACCAUAACGGUGUUAGUAGGGCUGACAACAUUACUACUGGUGGUCAAAAGUGACCGGCGGCUGCUGAUCCAUGCUCUAUUCACCUAUCCUCUCCGUUCACCAAGAUGCACACACACAGACCCUUCUGUAGAGUGUCUGGGAGGUGAAUAGGCGUGUCUGGGAGGUGCAUAGGCGUGUCUGGGAGGUGCAUAGGCGUGUCUGGGAGGUGCAUAGGCGUGUCUGUCAGGUGCAUAGGAGUGUCUGUCAGGUGCAUAGGAAUGUAGUUGGCAACCUCAUCUGAUUCCAGACAACCCCUCAAGCUUUAUAAUUUAAGUUGAGUGAUAAAAAUGACUUUUGUGGUACUACAGUAUGUGGGUAAACUGUCAUCAGUAUGUAGCUACAUUGUUUUGGCUGGGAUUCAACUCACUCAGUAUUAAAAACAAAUACUGUAGGUUGUGUUUCGUGACAGCUCUCCAUUUUUCUCUGUACUGAUGUCUACUUUGCGAGGAUUACAAAGUCAUACUUUAGUUAGUGGUUAUUGUAUGCUAACCUUUUGAAUAUGUGCAUAAAUCCUAAUGUGUGGCUGAUCUGAUAAGACAGUGUAUAGUGUAUGUAACUGAGAUUAGGAGGUCAUAUCAUAAAAAGUGUGUUUUUGUCCAGAUAAAUAUAAGAAAACAUUUAGAUGAUGUGGAAUUAGAUACAUCUAUCUCAAUAGUUGCAUUGCAUAUUGUCCAGAACAGUCAUGAUUGUAAAGAAGAUGAGACAAUAAAGGAUGACAAUUUAAAGGCCACCUGGCUCUUGUCUGCCUCUUUGAUCCUUAUGCCACAUGUAAGUAAAGUAAGCCUUGUCAGAGCCUGUUUCAAUAGUGUGAGGCAUCUUGGUCUACAAGUA
rnacentral:lncRNA from 8 species